rnacentral:rRNA from 1 species
AUGAGAUAUUGUAAAUAUGUUACGGAUUCAUAUAUCAAGUAUUUAUCAGGUAGCAGAACAAUCUAUUUGUUUCCUUUGGUAUUCUCUGCUUUGGUAAUAUCAUAUGGCAUUGAACUUGGUCUUUAUUCUAAGCGCAUGUCCUUAUUUGUAAAACUUAGGUGUAUGCCCAUGGCUCCAUCCACCAUCUUGAUUUUUCUCGAUUCAUUCAGGCUUUACCUCCAGAGAUUUUGGCAUGUCCAGUUAUUCUUCUUCAGCAUUGAUUUUUGUGAAUUAACUCAGUGUGUACCUCGCUCCAAAGAUUUUGGCAUGUUUUGUAAUUAUUCCAGAGCAUAUUGA